CCCUUAGAUGUUCUGGGCCGCACGCGUGCUACACUGAGUGGAUCAGCGGGUCAGGUUGCGCGAAAGCGUUUCCUAAUCUUGAAAUCCGCUCGUGAUGGGGAUUGACGGUUGCAAUUUUCCGUCAUGAACGAGGAAUACCUUGUAAGCGCGGGUCAUCAUCCCGCGCUGAAUACGUCCCUGCCCUUUGUACACACCGCCCGUCGCUCCUACCGAUUGAGUGGUCCGGUGAGGCUUUGGGAUCUGAGCGGAAAGAGCGUUUCGCUGUUUCUGCCCGGAAAACUCAGUCGAACCUUAUCAUUUAGAGGAAGGAGAAGUCGUAACA
rnacentral:rRNA from 1 species